rnacentral:rRNA from 1 species
AUUGAACGCUGGCGGCAUGCCUAACACAUGCAAGUCGAACGAGUGGCGGACGGGUGAGUAAUGUCUGGUCAACUUCCCGAUCGAGGGGGAUCACCACUGGAAACCGUCGCUUAUUCCCCCUACCCUCGUUUUUGCCCAGCUGGGAUUAGCUAGUAGGUGGGGUAAAGGCUCACCUAGGCGACGAUCCCUACCUGGUCUGAUAGUCUGACCGGCAACACUGGAACGGAGCAACGGUCCAGACGCCUACGGGAGGCGGAAGUGGGGAAUAUUGCAAAAGGGGCGAAAGCCGGAUGCAGAAAGGCGGCGGGGAUGAAGAAGGCCUUGGGGUGGUAAAGUACUUUAAGCGGGGAGGCGUUACCCGAAGAAGAAGCACCGGCUAACUCCGUGCCAGCAGCCGCGGUAAUAC